rnacentral:pre_miRNA from 12 species
GCUGCCCUGGGAGCCGCUGUCCUCCAGGUCGCUCUGGCAGCCCUCGUCGUGGAGCGAGCCCCGCCUGGUGACCUUGGGCGCCAGCAGCUUGACCAGGUCGGCCAGC